rnacentral:misc_RNA from 1 species
GCUGCUGCCGUUUCGCUACGCCGUUUCACCUUUGAAUGCCGAAAA